rnacentral:tRNA from 117 species
GGGUCUGUAGCUCAGGUGGUUAGAGCACCGUCUUGAUAAGGCGGGGGUCGUAGGUUCAAGUCCUACCAGACCCACCA